UGUCUUUAGCUGGUGUCCUGGUCUUGUUGUCUACAGAAUGUUUCCUGGUGCUGUUGUCUAUAGGAGGUGUCCUGGUCCUGUUGUCUGCAGGAGGUGUCUUGGUCCUGUUUUCUGCAGGAAUUAUCCUGGACCUGUUUUCUACUGGAGGUGUCCUGUUCCUGUUGCCUGCAGGACGUGUCCUGGACCUGUUGUUUGUAGGAGGUGUCCUGGUCCUGAUGUCUACAAGGGUUCUACUGGCUGGCUUCCGUCUCCCAUUGUCUCCUAUGAGGCCCUGGAUAGUUCAAGACAGAUCCAUACAGUAAGCAAUCAGAAAUCUUGAAGCAGGUCCAGUACGUGGCACAAGUUUAUUUCUUUCUCCUGGCUCACUGUUAUCAGACAGCUUAGAAAUACCCAGGACUGGAUUGGAUGGCAUGUGCUGCUGUAGUGGAUGCCUGUUCCCUAGGUGCUCGAUGACAUUAGUGUGAAAUGAUAUGGACAGUGAGCAUACAGAGCAUGAAUGGGGGAAGUGGACUCAGGAUGUUUACUUUUUGGAAGCGACAUCAAAGGUAGUGACGCAACUGAUGUUUGGUUUUUGACAUGGUGAAAAAUAGCUUGCCCACCCAACUCCCAGUGGUCUUAGAAAAUGGGAACUAAUGGUUUGGAGAGAGGUCAAAGUUCAAGGUGGAGACUUGAAAGCCAUUAGUAGAGGUCAUAGUUGAGGCCAGGAUCAGAUUAUUCAGGGGGACUCUAGAGGGAGGUGAAAACGGUGCUGGAGGAAAUCUCUGGAACUCUAGCACCUCAGGGCUCAAGGCAGGAGGAGGAAGCCAAGGGGAAAAACAGCAAUGGCGGGUAAAGGAGAGGAGAGAGCUAUCCUCCUUCAGGCCCCAAGGAGGUAUGGGUACAGUCGUCCAGUGGUUGCAAUUCACAGGACUGUGGAUGCGCAUCUCGGGUGGUUCAAAAUCUUGUUCGUUAUGACUAGAGUACCAAUAAACAUGGAUAUGCAA